UACGAAGGGGGCUAGCGUUGUUCGGAUUUACUGGGCGUAAAGCGCACGUAGGCGGGUUGUUAAGUCAGGGGUGAAAUCCUGGAGCCUCAACUCCAGAACUGCCUUUGAUACUGGCAACCUAGAGGCUGGAAGAGGUUAGUGGAAUUCCCAGUGUAGAGGUGAAAUUCGUAGAUAUUGGGAAGAACACCAGUGGCGAAGGCGGCUAACUGGUCCAGAUCUGACGCUGAGGUGCGAAAGCGUGGGGAGCAAAACAGGG
rnacentral:rRNA from 1 species